AGAACGAACGCUGGCGGCAUGCCUAAUACAUGCAAGUCGAACGAACACUUCGGUGUUAGUGGCGCACGGGUGCGUAACGCGUGGGAAUCUGCCCUUGGGUUCGGAAUAACAGUUGGAAACGACUGCUAAUACCGGAUGAUAUCGAAAGAUCAAAGAUUUAUCGCCCAGGGAUGAGCCCGCGUAGGAUUAGCUAGUUGGUGAGGUAAAGGCUCACCAAGGCGACGAUCCUUAGCUGGUCUGAGAGGAUGAUCAGCCACACUGGGACUGAGACACGGCCCAGACUCCUACGGGAGGCAGCAGUAGGGAAUAUGGACAAUGGGCGCAAGCCUGAUCCAAGCAAUGCCGCGUGAGUGAUGAAGGCCUUAGGGUUGUAAAGCUCUUUUACCCGAGAUGAUAAUGACAGUAUCGGAGAAUAAGCCCCGGCUAACUCCGCGCCAGCAGCCGC
rnacentral:rRNA from 1 species